CGAGUUUAACAAACCGUAGAUAUUCUUCCGAGAUCUUAGGGAAGAACUUCCUCCGUGCGGUCACAGCGGCAUAUGUAACCACUUAACGUGGUACUUCACACCAUCUCAAGUCCAUUUUAUGUUCACACCCAGCCUUAAAAAUGCUACUUGCCGCUUUACCGAGUAGGGUCAGGCUCAUUUCAGGACGUUCGUUGGCGUUUACCGCCGCUCGGAUGUGUUCUGCUGGCCCUGCAGCCGCCAACCCGGUCGUCUACUUUGACAUUGCAGCUGACAACCAGCCCGUCGAAGAGUAACAUUCGAGCUGAAUGCAGAUGUUGUGCCCAAAACAGCAGAGAAUUUCAGAGCACUGUGCACAGGAGAACAUGGUUUUGGCUACAAGGGAUCCAUCUUCCACAGGAUCAUCCCUCAGUUCAUGUGCCAGGGGGGAGACUUCACUAAUCACAAUGGAACCGGAGGGAAAUCUAUCUACGGACUCAAAUUCAAAGACGAGAACUUCGAACUGAAGCACACGGGACCUGGCAUUCUGUCAAUGGCCAACGCUGGGCCCAACACCAACGGCUCUCAGUUCUUCAUCUGCACCGACAAGACAGAGUGGCUGGAUGGCAAACAUGUUGUGUUUGGCAGCGUGACCCAGGGACUGGAUGUGAUCAGGAAAGUGGAGAUGUUCGGCUCUCGUUCGGGGCGUACCUCCAAGAGUAUCACCAUCGCGGACUGUGGAGAGCUUAAGUAGUCUGGGAGUCCCAAAUUGUACCCUAUUCCUUAUAUAGUGCACGACAUUGGGGAAAUGGGGCACGCCCACGAAGCGGGCAUGAUGGUUUCUAAUAGCCUCGUGUGAUUUUAUAAUUUUUUCAAAUUUAAUUUGUAUUAUUGUUGGACAUAAAAGACUUAAAAACACGAGGAAAUGAUUUCCAAGUUAUUUUAAUUUUAGAAAUCUGUUCCCAGGUAUAAUAGAUGUGAUUGUAUACCAAUGUAAACAAGUACCAAACGAGGUUUGAAAUCAGGUUUAGAUCUUCCUCUUUAAACACAGUGACAAUAGCGUGUGUUUUUUUUCUCUUUUCCCCAGGAUAUUGUGUCAAACACUUUUUUUUAGGGGGAAAGUUAUUCUGUGAUUUGAUCUUUUUGAUAAAUGAUUUCUACCACUAG